rnacentral:ncRNA from 1 species
AUUCGACUGUGUUUGAAACGCAGCUUUCAUUGGAAACAAUGAUUGAAAAAGAGGAUGAAUUCAGAGAAGCCUGUCAAAUGGUAACCCUGAGCCAAGUCUAGUAAAAAUACUAGAAAGGUGCAGAGACUAUCCCUUUUGGGAGUAGACUAACACUUGUUAGCCGAAGCAUUCUCCAUCUAAAGCGCAAGCCACGAUGAUGAUAUAGUCCACGCUUUAAGGAAACUUAAGG